AAAUGGUCUGAACUUUCUAAGAAAAGAUACUCAUGAGCCGAUGGUGAAGUUUCUGCUGAAGGAGGUCCAGUCCACCCGUACACAGAGGCCCACAGCUGGCUCCAGUUACCCGUAUGUGGAGAUAAUGCUGAGUGACCUAAUGUCUCAACGCAUUACACAGUUACAGCUGGACAAGAGUCUUGAGCUGUGCUGUGUUAUCUCCAUGAAUAUGGAGAACCUGUUGUCAGUAUGAGAGAAGAGUCCUACUCUGCUGCCUAGUGAAAUCACUCUGCUCUAGCACCCUUCCUAUUAUCACUUUUACGGCAAUAAUUGCAAUCAGACACUAUUAAACUUCUACAUGUUGAAAGCUACCUGUCUAUUAUUGAUAGUGCAACAUGUAUGUUUACAAUUUCAAAACCAAGUUCCAGGAUUGGCUUGUUAUUUACAAUAAUUUUACAUGCAUUCC